GUCUACAUCAUAGUGAAAGAUCCCCGAAGAGAGAGACCCUUACUCAAGUCUCGGGAAGUCGCGGACCCCAGAUACAGAGAGACCA
rnacentral:pre_miRNA from 14 species